GAAAAGAAACCAACAGGGAUUGCCCUAGUAACGGCGAGUGAAGCGGCAACAGCUCAAAUUUGAAAUCUGGCCUCGGCCCGAGUUGUAAUUUGCAGAGGAUGUUUCUGGCGCGGUGCCUUCCGAGUUCCCUGGAACGGGACGCCACAGAGGGUGAGAGCCCCGUAUGGUUGGACACCAAGCCUGUGUGAAACUCCUUCGACGAGUCGAGUAGUUUGGGAAUGCUGCUCAAAAUGGGAGGUAAAUCUCUUCUAAAGCUAAAUACCGGCCAGAGACCGAUAGCGCACAAGUAGAGUGAUCGAAAGAUGAAAAGCACCUUGAAAAGGGGGUUAAACAGUACGUGAAAUUGUUGAAAGGGAAGCGCUUGUGACCAGACUUGCGCCGGGCGGUUCAUCCGGGGUUCUCCCCGGUGCACUCCGCCCGGUUCAGGCCAGCAUCGGUUCUCGUUGGGGGAUAAGAACGGCAGGAACGUGGCCCUCCUUCGGGUGGGUGUUAUAGCCUGCCGUACGAUACCCUGGUGGGGACCGAGGUUCGCGCUCCGCAAGGAUGCUGGCGUAAUGGUCAUCAGCGACCCGUCUUGAAACACGGACCAAGGAGUCGUCCAUUAGAGCGAGCGUUUGGGUGUAAAACCCGCACGCGUAAUGAAAGUGAAAUUAGGUGAGAGCUUCGGCGCAUCAUCGACCGAUCCUGAUGUUCUCGGAUGGAUUUGAGUAAGAGUUUUAACGGACGGACCCGAAAGACAGUGAACUAUGCUUGUAUAGGGUGAAGCCAGAGGAAACUCUGGUGGAGGCUCGCAGCGGUUCUGACGUGCAAAUCGAUCGUCAAAUAUGAGCAUGGGGGCGAAAGACUAAUCGAACUGU
rnacentral:rRNA from 1 species